AGCAUCACUGCAGAAAUUGUGGGUUAGUAUUCUACAGUUGUAUUCUUCUUGUAUUCUCAUUAAAUUCUCAAUCAUAUUGCAUUCCCACGGCAGUUUUCUAAGAAUUAAAUUUUCAUCAAAAUUUGUUUCGUCGUAGAUCAAUAUUCUGUGCUGAAUGUACAGCCAAGACAGCGACCGUUGCAGGAACUAAAAAACCUGCGCGAGUUUGUGAACCAUGUUACAAAGAGCUAAACGUUCCUGUUAGGGUGAGUAUAUACAUUGAGAGCUUUCAAAAUCAUUUUAAAGUGUGACGUACCCUAAAUGUAAUUUUUGAAAAACUUUGGGCCUCCCGGGGAACGUCUGCCCCGGGUCCCCGCGCAAAAAGUCUGCGAAUUCAGACGUCAUUUCCGACGCUCAUUCUUCGCAAUGACGUCUGCGUUCGCAGAUUACCGCGCAACAGACAUUAGGAUUUGUUGGCUUGGUAUAUCGUCAAGAAUAAUAUUUUUCAAUGAUUGUUUUUCUUCUUUUUUAGUCAUAUUCACUUAAUUCAACGAAUUCUUCAUGAUACAUGCACGCCAUCAAUGUAGAGAAUAUUUAUUAAUUCUUGCGUCCAGCGCUACCGUAGACUUUCGUCAAGUCGUUCGUCUUUGUUUUGAAACAACAAAAAACGAAGGACUGUGCUUCGACGCUCGAUCAAACUUUGAGGCCUAUCUGGGGCAAGUCCGACUGUGCGAUCGCGUAAUGUGUUUUUGGCGCGUGUAUGAAGUGCGAUGUUGAUCUAUCUCGCCAUUUCUCACCAGCUUCGCCUUGAAAUGCAGUCUGAAGUGAAGAAUACAGGUUGACCCAUUUUUAGAUGCACUGUGGAAACUUGAAUGUGCCGUAUUUUUACCAUCGUACAAAAACAGAAGCCUUAUAAGUACAUAUGACACCAAAUUUUCUUGGCUGAAAGAACUCUUUAAGCUGCAGUGUAACUUAUUUUUCAGUUUCUUGUUUUUAUGGUUUGUUCCCGAGAUAUUUCAAUUUGUUUGAUAUGUCCGCUAAUUUAUGAUGUCACUUUGGUUGCAAACUCAACUUGCACUGCCGGUUAUAAAUCUAUCAACUCUAAAAACUGUAGAUAUCAGUUCACGCUUUUCUCCAGUGUUUCAUCACAUUUACCAGUGAGUGUAGUUUGAAAUUAUCAUCUUGGAUGAUAGCUGUGAUAUUCAACCAUUUUGAAGAGCUUGCAACCAACAUGACGUCAUAAAUUAGCGGACAUAUUCACACUCAUUUACAUAUCGAACAAAUUGAAAUAUCUCGGGAACAAACCAUAAAAACAAGAAACUGAAAAAUAAGUUACACUAGGGCUUACAGAGUUCUUUCAUUCAAGAAAAUAAGAAAUUUCAUGUCAUAUGCACUUUAAUUAAUUAAACAUGUAUAUCAAACUCGAACAAUUUUAGAGUAGAAUGAAAUGUAAUUAGAAAUAAUUUAUGUUUUCCACAUUUUUACAUACGUCGACUAACAUAGAUAAUGAGUCAUAUUGAUGGUUAUUCUAAUGAGUUUCCAAACCAACACGAGUACAUCUUGUUGAUAAGCUGUGAGGUUUGUGUUUGUGUUGUUGUCUCUGGGAUAAGCUGAAAAGUUUGCUUGACGCAAUGACCGCGAUGGGAGUCGAAAUUUUCGUGCGUUUUGUGAAACAGAUUUUUUGGAUAUGCAGCCUUACAUUAUACUGUAGAUUAUGUACUAUUUAAAGCACGCGUAGGAGUGUUUUAUCACAUAUAAAACACGACGCGUAGCGGAGUGUUUUAUAUGUGAUAAAACACGACUACAAGUGCUUUAAAUAGCUUAAAAAACGACUCAUCUUAUACGAGUUCAUUGGCGAAGAAAUUUUUAAAAUAAACUUUGUCUAAACCGAGAAAAUCAAAGCUAAAGUUUAUGUAAAUUAACGUGAUUUUUUA